UUGAACGCUGGCGGCAUGCUUUACACAUGCAAGUCGAACGGUAACAGGUUAAGCUGACGAGUGGCGAACGGGUGAGUAAUGCAUCGGAACGUGCCCGAUCGUGGGGGAUAACGCAGCGAAAGCUGCGCUAAUACCGCAUACGAUCUGAGGAUGAAAGCGGGGGACCGUAAGGCCUCGCGCGAUCGGAGCGGCCGAUGUCAGAUUAGGUAGUUGGUGGGGUAAAGGCUCACCAAGCCGACGAUCUGUAGCUGGUCUGAGAGGACGACCAGCCACACUGGGACUGAGACACGGCCCAGACUCCUACGGGAGGCAGCAGUGGGGAAUUUUGGACAAUGGGCGCAAGCCUGAUCCAGCAAUGCCGCGUGCAGGAAGAAGGCCUUCGGGUUGUAAAGCCCUUUCGACGGGGAGGAAGGCACCGGCGCGAAUAGCGUUGGUGAUUGACGUAACCUGGAGAAGAAGCACCGGCUAACUCCGU
rnacentral:rRNA from 1 species